rnacentral:sRNA from 12 species
CCUUUGCAGGGGUUUGGAAAGGGGAUCCCCCUUUCACGUUUUGAGGAGGGUGCUCAGGAUGCAGACAAAGCUCCAAAGGCAUCCGUCGAAGGGGUC